rnacentral:sRNA from 1 species
AUUGUUAACAAAUAUGUUUAUGCUAAUUUUAAGGGAAUGAUUUGAAGUUUGGUGGGAUUAAAUUUGAUUGAUAAUGUGAUUGACAAUUUAAAUCAAAAUUUAAAGUAAAAUUAAUUAUUUUGGAAAAAAGAUUUAUUGAUGAUAGCAUUAAAUUGUAAAUAAGUCCAAGUCCAGGAUUUAUUUGCUAAAAUGGCUGCAAAAAUGUAUAUAUAGAUUCUGAAAAACUGAA